rnacentral:rRNA from 1 species
GUGGGGAAUAUUGGACAAUGGGCGCAAGCCUGAUCCAGCCAUGCCGCGUGAGUGAUGAAGGCCUUAGGGUUGUAAAGCUCUUUCAGUGGGGAAGAUAAUGACGGUACCCACAGAAGAAGCCCCGGCUAACUUCGUGCCAGCAGCCGCGGUAAUACGAAGGGGGCUAGCGUUGUUCGGAUUUACUGGGCGUAAAGCGCACGUAGGCGGAUCGUUAAGUCGGGGGUGAAAUCCUGGAGCUCAACUCCAGAACUGCCUUCGAUACUGGCGAUCUUGAGUCCGGAAGAGGUGAGUGGAACUCCUAGUGUAGAGGUGGAAUUCGUAGAUAUUAGGAAGAACACCAGUGGCGAAGGCGGCUCACUGGUCCGGUACUGACGCUGAGGUGCGAAAGCGUGGGGAGCAAACAGGAUUAGAUACCCCUGUAGUCC